UUCCUGGUGGUCCAGUGGUUGGGACUCUGUACUUCCAGUGCAGGGGGCUUGGGUUCAAUCCCUGGUUGGGAAG
rnacentral:tRNA from 1 species